UACAUGUGGGGCAAGCGUUGUUCGGAAUUACUGGGCAUAAAGGGUGCGUAGGCGGCUUGUUAAGUCAGGGGUGAAAGUUUUCGGCCCAACCGGAAAAUUGCCUUUGAUACUGGCGAGCUGGAGUGCGUGGAGGGGUGACCGGAACGAGUGGUGUAGCGGUGAAAUGCGUAGAUAUCACUCGGAAGGCCAACGGCGAAGGCAGGUCACUGGUGCGCAACUGACGCUGAGGAGCGAAAGCUAGGGGAGCAAACGGGG
rnacentral:rRNA from 1 species